GACAGAGGUGGCGAGCGUUGUUCGGAAUUACUGGGCUUAAAGGGCGCGUAGGCGGUGGUAUAAGUCUGAGGUGGAAUGCCACGGCUCAACCGUGGAACUGCCUUGGAAACUGUAUCACUUGAGUUAGACAGGGGAAGGCGGAAUUCCUGGUGUAGCGGUGAAAUGCGUAGAUAUCAGGAGGAAGGCCAGUGGUGAAGUCGGCCUUCUGGGUCUUAACUGACGCUGAGGCGCGAAAGCGUGGGGAGCAAACAGG
rnacentral:rRNA from 1 species